GCAGGACUUUCUGUCUGUCUCAAGAGUUGCUGAAGCUCAGCACAAGUUGGGGAUCACGGUGCCCCUUCCUGCCACUGCCCGCAGAGGCAGAACCCCUUUACCUAGAGGGCUCUUUGCAGUUGGCCCCGGGGCUCUGGUGGGUUUGACAUUAUUUCAUGGAUUUGAUGUUUUUGUUUUUGUUUUGAUGGGGGUUCAGUGCCUGAUGGCAAAACCCCAGAAGAUGAAAAUCCAACAGAGGAAGGAGCAGACAACUCUUCAGCAAAGAUGGAAGAGGAGGAGGAGGAAGAGGAAGAAGAAGAAGAGCGCCUCCCAGGAUGUACUCUGUUUAUUAAGAAUCUCAAUUUCGACACAACAGAAGAGAAGCUGAAGGAAGUGUUCUCAAAAGUGGGGACAGUGAAGAGCUGCUCUAUCUCCAAGAAGAAGAACAAAGCAGGAGCGCUGCUUUCCAUGGGGUUUGGAUUUGUGGAAUACAGAAAGCCGGAGCAAGCCCAGAAAGCUCUCAAGCAGCUCCAGGGUCACAUCGUGGACGGCCACAAGCUGGAAGUGAGGAUCUCGGAACGAGCCACUAAGCCAGCCGUGACAUCGGCUCGAAAGAAACAAGUUCCCAGAAAGCAGACCACCUCCAAGAUCCUGGUGCGGAACAUCCCCUUCCAGGCCCACAGCCGGGAGAUCCGAGAGCUCUUCAG
rnacentral:sRNA from 1 species